CACGCUGUAAACGAUGAAUACUAGGUGUAGGGGGUAUCAACUCCCUCUGUGCCGCAGCAAACGCAGUAAGUAUUCCGCCUGGGGAGUACGGCCGCAAGGUUGAAACUCAAAGGAAUUGACGGGGGCCCGCACAAGCAGCGGAGCAUGUGGUUUAAUUCGAAGCAACGCGAAGAACCUUACCAAGGCUUGACAUCCUACUAAACUCAUGGAAACAUGAGGUGACUUCGGUCGAGUAGAGACAGGUGG
rnacentral:rRNA from 1 species